rnacentral:rRNA from 1 species
GAUGAACGCUGGCGGCGUGCCUAAUACAUGCAAGUCGAGCGAUUGGAUUAAGAGCUUGCUCUUAUGAAGUUAGCGGCGGACGGGUGAGUAACACGUGGGUAACCUGCCCAUAAGACUGGGAUAACUCCGGGAAACCGGGGCUAAUACCGGAUAACAUUUUGAACCGCAUGGUUCGAAAUUGAAAGGCGGCUUCGGCUGUCACUUAUGGAUGGACCCGCGUCGCAUUAGCUAGUUGGUGAGGUAACGGCUCACCAAGGCAACGAUGCGUAGCUGACCUGGGAGGGUGCUCGGCCACACUGGGACUGAGACACGGCCCAGACGCCUAAGGGAGGCAGCAGUAGGGAAUCUUCCGCAAUGGACGAAAGUCUGACGGGGCAACGCCGCGUGAGUGAUGAAGGCUUUCGGGUCGUAAAACUCUGUUGUUAGGGAAGAACAAGUGCUAGUCGAAUAAGCUGGCACCUUGACGGUACCUAACCAGAAAGCCACGGCUAACUACGUGCCAGCCGCCGCAGUAA